GAAUAUUUACUUAAAUAAAAGAGGGUGUAUUAGUAAUGUGUAUGAUAUCUAUGGCAAAUUUCUAUGCAUUUAUGCAUAGGAAAGUAUAUAAAGAGACUAUUAGGGAUACCUAGCUAUAUAUUAAAGAGAGUAAGUUAUAAACCGUUUAAGUUGUGUAUGCGAUAAAAUGUUACACAUGAACUCUUAGAGAAAUUCAGUAAUAAACGAAGUGAAUUGAAAUAUCUUAGUAACUUCAGGAAAAGAAAUCAAACGAGAUUCUAUGAUUAGUGUGAAUGAAAGUAGAAAAGCCUACAUAUAUUUUAUAAGUAAUAUACAAAAAAAAGUUGUUAUAAAAAAUAUAUAAAUAAGUAAAACGGGCAAAACCUGUUUGAAUAUAAAGGGGAACCUUCCUCUAAGGCUAAAUAUAAUAUAUAAGCGACAGCGUAUAGUACUGUGAAGGAAAGGUUUGAAAUAGUAGUCUUAUAAGCAGCUCGAGUAAAGUUUAAAUAAAAAGUAAGAGCGUACCUUUUGCAUAAUGGGUCAGCGAGUUAAUAUUAGAUGCGAGCAGUAAUGCCCAGAUAAACCAAUUAUGAAAUAAUGAAUUAGUAUCUAAAAUUAGACCCGAAGCCUGGUGAUCUUACUACAGUCAGGGUUAUAAAAGCCCGAACGGGUUAUCGUUGUAAAGAUAUCCGAAGAACUGUGGUAAGUUAGUGAAAGACAACACUGACUAGGAUAGCUGGUUUUCUGCGAAACCUAUAUAAGUAGGUAAUUCAAGGUACAUCAUAGCAGGUACAGAACUGUGAUCUCAGGCAACUUCUAUCUUAUUAUUAUAUUGGCGUAAGCUAUAUGAUAAAGGGAUAAUUUUGCAUAUAUCGGGCAAUCGUGAAGAUUUUAUCGGUGAGUAUUCGCACUCGGAAGGGCAAUGAUGAAUAUUGAAUAAUCGGACAUAGUACGAUAAGGUUGUAUGUCUAAAGGGAAACAGCCCAGAACAAGAGUUAAGGUUCCAAAAUUAUUGUUAAGUGAAAUUAAGGAAGUUUCUAUCUAAUACGACUAGGAAAUAGGCUUAGAAGCGGUCCAUUUUUUGAAGAUCUCGUAACAGAGCACUGGUUUAAUAAAUAAACGCUUGCGUUUAAUUUAUAUUGAUAGUUGCACCGAAAAUUUAACGGAUCUAAACAAUAUACCGACACCUUGUCCAUAUUUAUUAAUAAUUUAUUAUUAUAUUUAAUGGGGUAGCAGAACGUUGGGUAAAUCUAAGACUUAUUCUUUUUAAGAAUGAAUAUAUGAUAACCCAAGUGAGAAUGCUGACAUGAGUAACGAAAAAGGGAAAAAUCCCUCGCCUAAAGCUUAUGGUUUUAAUAAAGUAACGGCCUCUAAGUUUACCAACCUAAGGGAUUAAACGAUGAGUAAAUCUUUGUUACACAGUAACAACCUUCUUUUUAAUCUAAAUUACGUAAGUAAUAUAUUUGAAAAGAAAAAUAAAGUGAAGAAGGUUCUGGAAAAACAGUAACUCUAUAUAUGAUUGUAAUAAACUGAAAUAGAUGAGCAAUCACUAUACAUAUAGAGAAGAUAAACCGUACCUAAAGACUACCCCCAGUAAGCUAGUAGAGAAUACGAAGGCGUUUGAGUGAACAAUCAUUAAGGAACUCGGCAAACUAACUACCGUAACUUCGGGAUAAGGAGAGCCAUUCCUCCUAAUUAAUAUUAGGUUAAGAAUAGGAAGCAUGGAAUAGUGUUGUACGACUGUUUAAUUAAAACAAAGCACUCUGCAGUAAGAUAAUAAAUCAAAGUAUUGAGUGUGAUUUCUGCCCGAUGUCGGCUGGUUAACGGAUUUGCUAAGUUGACUAAUAUAAGCUUGGCUUUGAAGGAAACCCCGAUCAAUGGCGGCCUUACCUAUGAGGGUCCUAAGGUAGCGGAAUACCCUGGCCGUUAAAUGCGGUCUUGCAUGAAUGAUUUAACGAUACAACAGCUGUCUCAAUGAUUGGCUCAGUGAAAUUGGAAUAACUGUGCAGAUACAGUUUACCUCUAGUUAGACGAGAAGACCCUAUGCAGCUUUACUGUUGCUAGUUAUUGAAUAUGAUACUGCGAAUUUUAGUUAUAAGGUAGUGUUAACACAAUUGAAACACCUUUAUUUAGUUUAUCAUAUUGGUAGAUUUUCUACGUGAAAGUCUCAAACUUCUUUUGCUUCUGCAAGAGAUUUGAGAUAAUCAUUAACCUUCUUUGAAGGAACAAUUGCUAGGAGGCAGUUUAUGCGGGGCACAGAUCCCAUAAAAAGUACCUGGGUGUAUCCAAAGUUAAUUUUGUAAAAUUGUCAUAUAAUUAUGACAAUUAAAUAUACUAAUGAUGUAUAUUUUUUUAUUUUUAGUAUGUUAUUUGGUAUAGCUUAAGCUAUAACUAAUCCAGCUAUAUAUCUAUUGAGUUAGAACUAAUAUUUUUUAUCCAAGUAAGAUUUUAACUAUAUGGAAAAUAGUUGUAAUUAAAACAUUAAGAAUACUAUUUUUUUUUAGUUUUCCAAUGUUUUUAGUUAUAUUAUUAGUAGGCUUGUACUAAUACAGCACAUCCGGUAAUUAAUAAAAUUACUAAUAAUAUAAUUAUGUUUAUUACUUGUCAAGUUUAAUGGCUUAAUCUUGCUUUACUGUUUGACUUACACGUCUAUCAGUCGCGUAAGCGGGGCAUAUGAUCACAAGAUGCAGAAAGGAAAGGUCUUGGAUAAUUGAAAAAGCUACGCUAGGGAUAAACAACAAUCGCCUAUUGUCCCUCAAUAUUUAUUAUUAAAUAUAAUAAAUAUUGUAAUAAUUGGAUUAAUUUCAAGAAAGACUUUAAAAGUUAACUUGAAGCGAAAUUUACUUUUAAAAGUAAAGACGUUCAACGACUAUAAGGUUUUAUGUAACAUAAAACCUUAAUAUGAAUCCAACAUUUUUCUCUUCUUUUAUAAUAUCUUAACGUUAGGUUGUUUUAAAUUAGUUAUUUAAUUUAAGAAUAAUUUAACAAAUCAAUAAUUAAUAUA
rnacentral:rRNA from 1 species